rnacentral:rRNA from 1 species
GACGAACGCUGGCGGCAUGCCUAAUACAUGCAAGUCGAACGCUGAAGCACUCUGCUUGCCGAGUGCGGCUGAGUGGCGAACGGGUGAGUAACACGUGGGAAAUCUGCCUAUAAGAGGGGGAUAACAUUCGGAAACGGAUGCUAAUACCGCAUAUAUUCUUGGACCGCCUGGUCCUUGAAAGAAAGACGGCUUUGCUGUCGCUUAUAGAUGAUCCCGCGGCGUAUUAGUUAGUUGGUGGGGUAAAGGCCUACCAAGACAAUGAUACGUAGCCGACCUGAGAGGGUGAUCGGCCACACUGGGACUGAGACACGGCCCAGACUCCUACGGGAGGCAGCAGUAGGGAAUCUUCCACAAUGGGCGAAAGCCUGAUGGAGCAAUGCCGCGUGAAUGAAGAAGGUCUUCGGAUCGUAAAGUUCUGUUAUUAGAGAAGAACAAGUCAAGGAGUAACUGUCUUGACUUUGACGGUACCUAACCAGAAAGUCACGGCUAACUACGUG